rnacentral:rRNA from 1 species
GACGAACGCUGGCGGCGCGCCUAACACAUGCAAGUCGAACGAGCGAGAGAGAGCUUGCUUUCUUGAGCGAGUGGCGAACGGGUGAGUAACGCGUGAGGAACCUGCCUCAAAGAGGGGGACAACAGUUGGAAACGACUGCUAAUACCGCAUAAGCCCACGGUGCCGCAUGGCACAGAGGGAAAAGGAGCAAUCCGCUUUGAGAUGGCCUCGCGUCCGAUUAGCUAGUUGGUGAGGUAACGGCCCACCAAGGCGACGAUCGGUAGCCGGACUGAGAGGUUGAACGGCCACAUUGGGACUGAGACACGGCCCAGACUCCUACGGGAGGCAGCAGUGGGGAAUAUUGCACAAUGGGGGAAACCCUGAUGCAGCGACGCCGCGUGGAGGAAGAAGGUCUUCGGAUUGUAAACUCCGGUUGUUGGGGAAGAUAAUGACGGUACCCAACAAGGAAGUGACGGCUAACUACGUG